UACGUAGGUGACAAGCGUUGUCCGGAUUUACUGGGCGUAAAGAGCGCGCAGGCGGUCGAUCAAGUCGAGUGUGAAAGCCCCCGGCUCAACUGGGGAGGGUCAUUCGAUACUGAUCGACUCGAAGGCAGGAGAGGGUAGUGGAAUUCCCGGUGUAGUGGUGAAAUGCGUAGAUAUUCGGAGGAACACCAGUGGCGAAGGCGGCUCACUGGCUCGGUACUGACGCUGAGGAGCGAAAGCAUGGGGAGCGAACAGG
rnacentral:rRNA from 1 species